rnacentral:rRNA from 2 species
GGUACGCUGGCGGCGUGCCUAUUACAUGCUAGUCGAUGCGAACUGAUUAGAAGCUUGCUUCUAUGACGUUAGCGGCGGACGGGUGAGUAACACGUGGGCAACCUGCCUGUAAGACUGGGAUAACUCCGGGAAACCGGAGCUAAUACCGGAUAACAUUUUCUCUUGCAUAAGAGAAAAUUGAAAGAUGGUUUCGGCUAUCACUUACAGAUGGGCCCGCGGUGCAUUAGCUAGUUGGUGAGGUAACGGCUCACCAAGGCAACGAUGCAUAGCCGACCUGAGAGGGUGAUCGGCCACACUGGGACUGAGACACGGCCCAGACUCCUACGGGAGGCAGCAGUAGGGAAUCUUCCGCAAUGGACGAAAGUCUGACGGAGCAACGCCGCGUGAGUGAUGAAGGCUUUCGGGUCGUAAAACUCUGUUGUUAGGGAAGAACAAGUACAAGAGUAACUGCUUGUACCUUGACGGUACCUAACCAGAAAGCCACGGCUAACUACGUGCCAGCAGCCGCGGUAAUACGUAGUGGCAAGCGUUAUCCGGAAUUAUUGGGCGUAAAGCGCGCGCAGCGGUUUCUUAAGUCUGAUGUGAAAGCCCACGGCUCAACCGUGAGGUCAUUGGAAACUGGGGAACUUGAUGCAAAAAAAAAAAGCGGAAUUCCAGUGUACGGGAAUGCUAAGAUGUGGAGGACCCGUGGCGAAGCGGCUUUUGUCUUAACUGACCUGAGGCGAAAGGGGGAACAAACGAUUAAUCCUGUAUUCCCCCCUAAAAUAUGCUAGGUUAAAGUUCCCCCCUUGGUUGAGAAACCUAAAC